rnacentral:rRNA from 1 species
CCUACGGGGGGCUGCAGUGGGGAAUAUUGGACAAUGGGGGCAACCCUGAUCCAGCAAUGCCGCGUGUGUGAAGAAGGCCUGCGGGUUGUAAAGCACUUUCAGUAGGGAAGAAAAGCUCGGGGCUAAUACCUCCGGGUCUUGACGUUACCUAAAGAAGAAGCACCGGCUAACUCCGUGCCAGCAGCCGCGGUAAUACGGAGGGUGCGAGCGUUAAUCGGAAUUACGGGGCGUAACGCGUACGUAGGUGGUGAAAGCCCUGGGCUUAACCUGGGAACUGAAUGCGAUACGGCCCUGCUAGAGUAUGGGAGAGGGAAGCGGAAUGUCCGGUGUAGCGGUGAAAUGCGUAGAUAUCGGAAGGAACACCAAUGGCGAAGGCAGCUUCCUGGCCCAAUACUGACGCUGAGGUGCGAAAGCGUGGGGAUCAAACAGGAUUAGAUACCCCGGUAGUC